rnacentral:misc_RNA from 1 species
UGGGAUUUAAAGUAGAUACCUCGAACCCCUUGUACAAGCGCUUUCGCUUAAAAGUACUGGGUCAUUCCUAUAAACUGGGGGAGAAGAUAGACAGCUAUAUAUUUGGAGCUGAUCCUGGUUUACCUCAACAAUCGGAUUCCUCCGAAGUAUCCAUCAAGAAUGAUAAAAAAAGAAAUGCUUAUCGCUGCAAGAAAUGCAGGAGGGUCAUUGCUUUGCAAGCGAAUGUUGUCAGCCAUGCUCCUGGUGAAGGUGAGACAUGCUUUGAUUGGCAAAAGAGGAGAAGCCAUAGUCCUUUUAACAGGUUCGAUGAGUCUGAAUGUUCCUCUAUAUUUGUUGAACCUCUGCGGUGGAUGACAGCAGUUGAGGAGGGUGCAUUGGAAGGAAAGCUCUCAUGUGCACACUGUGAAG